rfam:Myotis brandtii contig171746, whole genome shotgun sequence.
GGCAGUUCUCGGGUGACACACCCUGGAACUGGGCUUCCUCCUCUCUGGUUCUGGGUACAUCAUCCAAGAACCACA